UAUGAACCCCUUAGGAUAAAGGGCCUCAUCAGAGAAAACUAGGUCAUUGGAGCUGAGCCAUGAGGGGCACUUGGGGACCCAAGACGACUUCUCUUUGCUUCUCAGUUGCCAUGAGGAGAGCAACCGCCUCCACCGUCCCCUCCUCCAUGUGCUGCCAUGCCACGGGUCCAAAGACAAGGAUCCAAGAGACCCCAACCUGCACCUCUGACCCCAUGAGUCAAAACAAUCCUUUUUCUCUCUGGUAAACUGCCGGGCUGAGAGGAGCAGCAAGCAUCUAUGGAAGUCUUCCCCGGACACGCCUGGGGAUCAAUUUUUAAAAUUAAGGAAUCCAUCUACAGGUCCUAACUGGUCUUCAGUAGUCAUCGAUGAACCCUUUAAUUACCCAGUUUUUGCCCCCUUUGAUUGGAAAUGUGGAUCAAGAUCAACUGAGUAGCAGAGACUUUCUUCCAAAUCAACUUUCCAGCGUUGGGAUGACAGGCUGGUGAAGGGAGGACUAUCUACAUCUUUCCGGAAACGGAUGGAGAUCUCCCUAGCACGCAGAACCUGUUCUCUUCUCUCCUUAUAGUUCCUUCCUUGCAGUCGUGACAAUCGAUGACUAUCGUGGCUUUGGAGGUUUGUGUCUGCCUGCAGAUGGAGUUAUAAUGAAGUUAGAAGUUGUAUGACGUCACCCUGGCAGCCAUCUUAGACUGACACUACUUCCCGACAGCCUACUUGAAGGACUUUGGGCUCACGUGUAUCCUGUUCUCAAGGACAUCCAAGCUCAGGGCUGGUUGGUCACAAGUGUCAACACUGCCAGGCAGAUGUGAUGUCUAUUCUUGGUUGCCAACUUGACUACAUCUGGAACUAACUGAAACCCCAAAAAAUUGCUGGGGACACCCAUGAGGGGUUCUUGCUUAAUUAAAUCAUUUCAGAUCUCUGAGGUGAGAAGAUACAACUUUAAUCUGGAUCUUUUGAGGGAGGAAGAUAAACCUUUAAUCUGUGGCACACCUGCUGGCAGCCUAUUUAAAGGACAUGGAAGAAGGAAGCUUGCUGUCUUUGCCUGCUUGUUCUUGCUUCCACUAGCAAGUCCAGUGCUUCACUGACAUUAGAUUCCAGUGUACGCUGAAGACCAGCUGAGACAUGCAGCCUUGUGAACUGAGCAACUACUGGACUGUUAGACUAGCUGGACCACAGUCUGCAAGCUAUUCUAGUAAAACACUCUCUCUCUCUCUCUCUCUCUCUCUCUCUCUCUCACACACACACACACACACACACACACACACACACACACACACUGUACCUUGCUAAUCUACAGAACCCUAAUACAGCAGAGAAACCCAGGCAUUUCACCAACGAAGAGGAAGUGUUCCAGACUACCACUCCAGCCUCCCCUUCCCAUCACACCCUUCUUGUUCUUGUCAGCCUCCACUAUCACACAUUAAACACCAACAAAAAAGCUAAUCAUCUCUCAAUGCUCACGAGGCUGGCUGUGUCUCUACUGAAAUUAGCCUUCUCGUUGGUCGGUUGACAAUGUUGCUCCUGCCAAGAGUGUCAUCUAAGACAAGCACUUUGAUCUGAGCAGGCACAUAUCAAUCUUAUUUUGAAAAAUGA
rnacentral:lncRNA from 1 species